GAGGAUGGGCAUGCGGCGCAUUAGCUAGACGGCGGGGUAACGGCCCACCGUGGCGACGAUGCGUAGGGGUUCUGAGAGGAAGGUCCCCCACACUGGUACUGAGACACGGACCAGACUCCUACGGGAGGCAGCAGUGAGGAAUAUUGGUCAAUGGGAGAGAUCCUGAACCAGCCAAGCCGCGUGAGGGAAGACGGCCCUAUGGGUUGUAAACCUCUUUUGUCGGAGAACAAAACCCGGGACGAGUCCCGGACUGCGUGUAUCCGAAGAAAAAGCAUCGGCUAACUCCGUGCCAGCAGCCGCGGUAAUACGGAGGAUGCGAGCGUUAUCCGGAUUUAUUGGGUUUAAAGGGUGCGUAGGCGGUCUGUUAAGUCAGCGGUAAAAUUGCGGGGCUCAACCCCGUCGAGCCGUUGAAACUGGCAGACUUGAGUUGGCGAGAAGUACGCGGAAUGCGCGGUGUAGCGGUGAAAUGCAUAGAUAUCGCGCAGAACUCCGAUUGCGAAGGCAGCGUACCGGCGCCAGACUGACGCUGAGGCACGAAAGCGUGGGGAUCGAACAGGAUUAGAUACCCUGGUAGUCCACGCAGUAAACGAUGAAUGCUGGUUGUCCGGGUCGAAUGAGAUCUGG
rnacentral:rRNA from 1 species